GAUGAAGAACGUAGCGAAAUGCGAUACGUAAUGUGAAUUGCAAAUUCAGUGAAUCAUCGAGUCUUUGAACGCACAUUGCGCCCCCUGGUAUUCCGGGGGGCAUGCCUGUCCGAGCGUCAUUGCUGCCCUCAAGCACGGCUUGUGUGUUGGGCCCCGUCCUCCGAUCCCGGGGGACGGGCCCGAAAGGCAGCGGCGGCACCGCGUCCGGUCCUCGAGCGUAUGGGGCUUUGUCACCCGCUCUGUAGGCCCGGCCGGCGCUUGCCGAUCAACCCAAAUUUUUAUCCAGGUUGACCUCGGAUCAGGUAGGGAUACCCGCUGAACUUAAGCAUAUCAAUAAGCGGAGGGA
rnacentral:misc_RNA from 1 species